CCUACGGGUGGCAGCAGUGGGGAAUAUUGCACAAUGGGGGAAACCCUGAUGCAGCGACGCCGCGUGAGGGAAGACGGCUCUCUGUGUUGUAAGCUCCUUUUGUAGGGGAGAAAAUCACGGUACGUGUAUACGGCGCCCCGGCUACAUACGUGCCAGCAGCGGCGGCUCUAUGUCGGGGGCAAGCGUUAUCCGGAUUUACUGGGGUGAAAGGGGGCGUAGGCGGGAGGACAAGUCGGGGGUGAAAUGCGGGGGCUUAACCCCGGAACUGCUUUGGAAACUGUGCAGCUAGAGUGCAGGAGAGGUAGGUGGAAUUCCUGGUGUAGCGGUGAAAUGCGUAGAUAUCAGGCAGAACACCGAUGGCGAAGGCAGCUUACUGGACUGUAACUGACGUUGAGGCACGAAAGCGUGGGGAGCAAACAGGAUUAGAUACCCGUGUAGUC
rnacentral:rRNA from 1 species